rnacentral:rRNA from 1 species
AGUGAACGCUGGCGGUAGGCCUAACACAUGCAAGUCGAACGGCAGCACAGUAAGAGCUUGCUCUUACGGGUGGCGAGUGGCGGACGGGUGCGGAAUACAUCGGAAUCUACUUUUUCGUGGGGGAUAACGUAGGGAAACUUACGCUAAUACCGCAUACGACCUACGGGUGAAAGCAGGGGAUCUUCGGACCUUGCGCGAUUGAAUGAGCCGAUGUCGGAUUAGCUAGUUGGCGGGGUAAAGGCCCACCAAGGCGACGAUCCGUAGCUGGUCUGAGAGGAUGAUCAGCCACACUGGAACUGAGACACGGUCCAGACUCCUACGGGAGGCAGCAGUGGGGAAUAUUGGACAAUGGGCGCAAGCCUGAUCCAGCCAUACCGCGUGGGUGAAGAAGGCCUUCGGGUUGUAAAGCCCUUUUGUUGGGAAGGAAAAGCAGCAGGUUAAUACCCCGCUGUUCUGACGGUACCCAAAGAAUAAGCACCGGCUAACUUCGUG